rnacentral:rRNA from 1 species
GAUGAACGCUAGCUACAGGCUUAACACAUGCAAGUCGAGGGGCAGCAUGAACUUAGCUUGCUAAGUUUGAUGGCGACCGGCGCACGGGUGAGUAACACGUAUCCAACCUGCCGAUGACUCGGGGAUAGCCUUUCGAAAGAAAGAUUAAUACCCGAUGGCAUAAUUCUUCCGCAUGGUAGAACUAUUAAAGAAUUUCGGUCAUCGAUGGGGAUGCGUUCCAUUAGGUUGUUGGCGGGGUAACGGCCCACCAAGGCGACGAUCAGUAGGGGUUCUGAGAGGAAGGCCCCCCACAUUGGAACUGAGACACGGUCCAAACUCCUACGGGAGGCAGCAGUGAGGAAUAUUGGUCAAUGGGCGAGAGCCUGAACCAGCCAAAGUAGCGUGCAGGAUGACGGCCCUAUGGGUUGUAAACUGCUUUUAUAAGGGAAUAAAAGUGGGAGUCGUGACUCUUUUUGCAUGUACCUUAUGAAUAAGGACCGGCUAAUUCCGUGCCAGCAG